GGGUUGUGAGGUUAAGCGACUAAGCGUACACGGUGGAUGCCCUGGCAGUCAGAGGCGAUGAAGGACGUGCUAAUCUGCGAAAAGCGUCGGUAAGGUGAUAUGAACCGUUAUAACCGGCGAUGUCCGAAUGGGGAA
rnacentral:rRNA from 1 species